GAUGAACGCUGGCGGCGUGCCUAAUACAUGCAAGUCGAGCGAACAGACGAGGAGCUUGCUCCUCUGACGUUAGCGGCGGACGGGUGAGUAACACGUGGAUAACCUACCUAUAAGACUGGGAUAACUUCGGGAAACCGGAGCUAAUACCGGAUAAUAUAUUGAACCGCAUGGUUCAAUAGUGAAAGACGGUUUUGCUGUCACUUAUAGAUGGAUCCGCGCCGCAUUAGCUAGUUGGUAAGGUAACGGCUUACCAAGGCAACGAUGCGUAGCCGACCUGAGAGGGUGAUAGGCGACACGGGAACUGAGACACGGUCAAGACUCCUAAGGGAGGCAGCAGUAGGGAAUCUGACGCAAUGGGCGAAAGCAUGGCGGAGCAACGCCGCGUGAGUGAUGAAGGUCUUCGGAUCGUAAAACUCUGUUAUUAGGGAAGAACAAAUGUGGAAGUAAAUAUGCACGUCUUGACGGUACCUAAUCAGAAAGCAACGGCUAACUACGUG
rnacentral:rRNA from 1 species